ensembl:lncRNA
GUGAAAUGGCAUCAGAACACUUAAAAUAUAGUGAACAAAAACUUUAUUGUCCUUUAUAAUGAUUAUGUGGCUUUCGUAUGGUUUAAUUAUAACAUAGAAUAGUCCAAGCACUAUAUCGGUUUUGGAUUGGUCUCAUCAGACCGAUACCCCUACUCGGAAUAAAAUGCCAGUAUCGAAGCGAUACUGAUACUGUAUAUCGGAUCGGCGCACCCCUAGUCCUAACACAUCAUUUAUAUUAUCAAUAUGAAUGUUAAAGUCUCCCACAAUUAGUGCUUUAUCAACAUUUACCAAUAGGUCUGAAAGCAGACAUCCCAAGUCUCCCGGAAGUCCCGGGAGUCUCCCGCAUAUUGAUAGCGGCUCCCUGAUGCCCGCAAAUUAGUUAAAAUCUCCCGGAAUCUAGAGCGAGCGAGCAAGAGCGCGCAAAGAAGAGAACCGUGUAGCGCGCGCACGGCAGGGAGGGAGAGGGAGCGAGCGAGAGACAUGUGCUUGUGUGCGAGGUGCGAAGCGCAUGUAAGACAGAGAGCAUCCUGAUUGGCCUGUUUCGGCAAAUCAACCAAUCAAAUGUCAGUGUGGGCGGGCUUUUAUCUCUUCUCCCGAACCAAAUUAAUCAGUUAUGUCCUUUCUUUUACUGUCUAUGGUUAUGUCUAUCUAGAAACAGGAGCACCAUGGCAGAGGGAGAGUGCAACGGAAAAUAAAUAAAAGCAGUUUACAUAAAUGGUAUAAGCAGCUUAAAUAAAUAGUAAAAGUAAUCUACAUAUUUAAACAUAAUUAACGAAUAAUUGCACAGGCCUAUAGCUUAUAGAAAUAAUAUUUUAUGCUUUUAUAUUUUUUAGUAAAGUCAUGUUUUGUGGUGAAAUGUCAUAUCCUUGUCCUCCUUCCCCCUUUUUUUUUGGGGGGGGGGGGGUGGGGGGUGUUGGCUUCGGGAUACCUCCCUGAAAUGACUUUUUGCAGGUUGGGAUGUCUGUGAAAGGGAAAUCUGCAUAUUCUUUUAGGAAAUCUGUAUAUGGCCUUGGUGGUCUAUAUACAGUAGCCAGAGCAAGAUUUAGGAGACAUUUCUUUGCAUAUAUAACAGUGUAACAUUAAGUAGAAGUAUUUCGAAUGAGUUAAACCUGUAUCCUGUUAUCUGAGUAGCAUUGAGAAUAACACUAUAUAUUGCUGUAACAUGACCAGUCUGACGGGGCUCAUGCUUAUAACAGUAGCUUGGUGGAAUAGACUAAUUUAAACCAAUAUUGUCAUUUGGUUUGAGCCAGGUUUCAGUCAAGCAGAGUAUAUCCAAACUAUUCUUAAUGAUAACUUCAUUUAAAAUAACUGCUUUGGGUACGAGUGAUCUAAUGUUUAGGAGCCCAAGCUUUAAAAAAAUUUUUUGUUUAUUUAUUUUGCAUUUUUUUCCAGUUUAAUUACGAUCAAGUUUUUUUCUAGAUCCUGCAUUAAAUUUUUAUUUUGACCUCACUAUUCGGGGAACAGACACAGUCUUUAUAGAUUGGAUAACACAAGUACU